GCGGCCGUGGUGCAAAGGCGACACAGCAGGUUUAGGUCCUGUGGCCCCAACGGGCUUGAGGGUUCGAAUCCCUCCGGCCGCA
rnacentral:tRNA from 1 species